GGGACUAUAUUUUAUUUUAAAAUAUUCUAUUUGCAUUGGAAAGAAGUUGGUUCUA
rnacentral:tRNA from 1 species